rnacentral:rRNA from 1 species
GUUGAACGCUGGCGGCAUGCUUUACACAUGCAAGUCGAACGGUAACAGGCCGCAAGGUGCUGACGAGUGGCGAACGGGUGAGUAAUGCAUCGGAACGUGCCCAGUCGUGGGGGAUAACGCAGCGAAAGCUGUGCUAAUACCGCAUACGAUCUAUGGAUGAAAGCGGGGGACCGUAAGGCCUCGCGCGAUUGGAGCGGCCGAUGUCAGAUUAGGUAGUUGGUGGGGUAAAGGCUCACCAAGCCAACGAUCUGUAGCUGGUCUGAGAGGACGACCAGCCACACUGGGACUGAGACACGGCCCAGACUCCUACGGGAGGCAGCAGUGGGGAAUUUUGGACAAUGGGCGCAAGCCUGAUCCAGCAAUGCCGCGUGCAGGAAGAAGGCCUUCGGGUUGUAAACUGCUUUUGUACGGAACGAAAAGGUUUGGGUUAAUACCCUGGGCCGAUGACGGUACCGUAAGAAUAAGCACCGGCUAACUACGUGCCAGCAGCCGCCGUAACAC